UGCAUAGAUGUGCAUGAUGUACAUUAAAUUUUGAAUUUAAUUGAUUAGGUUUGAUUCCUUACUAUGCAA
rnacentral:tRNA from 1 species